GCUUGUCUCAAAGAUUAAGCCAUGCAUGUCUAAGCAGAAGCCGAACAACGGUAAAGCCGCGAAUGGCUCAUUACAACAGCCGUCGUUUCUUGGAUCUCUUAUUUUACUGGAUAACUGUGGUAAUUCUAGAGCUAAUACACGCACUAAAGCUCCGACCUUACGGGACGAGCGCAUUUAUUAGAACAAAACCAAUCGGGUUUCGGCCCGUCCGUUGGUGACUCUGAAUAACUACGCCGAUCGCACGGUCUCGUACCGGCGACGUAUCUUUCAAGUGUCUGCCUUAUCAACUUUCGAUGGUAGUUUAUGUGCCUACCAUGGUUGUAACGGGUAACGGAGAAUAAGGGUUCGACUCCGGAGAGGGAGCCUGAGAAACGGCUACCACAUCCAAGGAAGGCAGCAGGC
rnacentral:rRNA from 1 species